rnacentral:lncRNA from 1 species
ACUAGUGUCAAAAUAUAGGUGCAAGAAAUGUUUCAAUUUAGUUGUUUUUCAAGCAAGGUAUUUUUGGUGGUGAGACUCUCUUAAGUUGAUGCUUGGUGCCAAGAUUUUGAAAUUUUUUAAAGCCUUGGCUUUUUAGACUUACGGACUGCAAUGCACUCUUUAAAUCCCCAAUUGACGAGUACGAUGAAAAUAUAGGUGCAAGAAAUGUUUCAAUUUAGUUGCUUUUAAACAAGCUAUGUUGGGUGGUGAGACUAGACUAAGUUGGUGCUUGGUGCCAAGAUUUGGAAAUUAUUAUAGUCUUAGUUUUUAAGACUUAGGGGCUGCAAUGCACUCAUUAAAUCCCUAAAUGAUGAAUAGUGUCAAAAUAUAGGUGCAUGAAAUGUUUCCAUUUAGUUGCUUUUCAAGCAAGCUAUGUUUGGUGGUGAGAAUGGACUAAGUUAGUGUUGGUGCCAAGAUUUGGAAAUGUUUUAAAGUCUUGGUUUUUUAGACUUAGGGGCUGCAAUGCACUCUUUAAACUCCCAAGGGACGACUAGUGUCAACAUAUAGGUGCAAGAAAUGUUUCAAUUUUGUUUCUUUUCAAGCAAGCUAUGUUUGGUGGUGAGACUGAACUAAGUUGGUGCUUGGUGCUUAGAGUUGGAUAUUUUUGAUAGUCUUGGUUUUUUAGACUUAGGUGUAGCAAUGAAGUCUUUAAAUCCCGAAAUGAUAAUUGGUGUCAAAAUAUAGGUGCAAAAAAUGUUUCCAUUUAGUUGCUUUUCAAGCAAGCUAUGUUUGGUGGUGGGAAUUUACUAAGUUGAUGCUUGGUGCCAAGAGUUGGAAAUGUUGGGAAGUCUUGAUUUUUAGACUUAGGGGCUGCAAUGAACUCUUUAAAUCCCCAAAUGACGACUAGUGUCAAAACAUAGGUGCAAGAAAUGUUUCAAAUUAGGUGUUUUUCAAGCAAGCUAUGUUUGGUGGUGAGACUAAACUAUGUUGUCCUUUGUGCCAAUAUUUGGAAAUGUUUCAAAGUCUUGGUUUUUUAGACUUAGGGACUGCAAUGCACUCUUUAAAUCCCAAAAUGACGACUAGUGUCAAAAUAUAGGUGCAAGAAAUGUUUGAACUUAGUAGCUUUUCAAGGAAGCUAUGAUUAGUGGUGAGACUAGACUAAGUUGGUGUUUGGUGCCAAGAUUUGGAAACUUUUUAAAGUCUUGUUUUUUUGGACAUAGGGGCAGCAAUGAAGUCUUUAAAUCCCGAAAUGAUAAUUAGUGUCAAAAUAUAGGUGCAAAAAAUGUUUCCAUUUAGUUGCUUUUAAAGCAAGCUAUGUUGGUUGGUGAGGCUGGACGAGGUUGGUGCUUGGUGCAAUGAUUUGGAAAUUUUUGAAAGUCUUAGUUUUUAGGACUUAGGAGCUGCAAUGCACUCUUAAAUUCCGCGAAUGACGACUAGUGUUAAAAUACAGGUGCAAGAAAUGUUUCAAUUUAGUUGCUUUUCAAGCAAGCUAUAUUUGGUGGGGAGACUGGACUAAGCUGUGCUUGGUACCAAGAUUUGGAAAUGUUAUAAAGUCUUGGUUUUUUAGACUUAGGGCCUACAAUGCACUCUUUAAAUCCCCAAAUGACGACUAGUGUCAAAAUAGAGGUGCAAGAAAUGUUUCAAUUUAGUUACUUUUCAAGCAAACUAUGUUUGGUGGUGAGAGUGGACUAUGUACGUGCUCUGUGCCAAGAUUUGGAAAUUUUUUAUAGUCUAUGUUUUAUAGACUUAGGGGCUGCAAUGCACUCUUUAAAUCCCCAAAUACUGACUAGUUUCAAAAUAUAUGGGCGAGAAAUGUUUCAAUUUAGUUGCUUUUCAAGCAAGCUAUUUUUUGUGGUGAGACUGUACUAAAUUGGUGCUUGCUGCCAAGAUUUUUAAAUUUUUGAAAGCCUUGGCUUUUUAGACUUAGGGACUGCAAUGCACUCUUUAAAUCCCCAAAUGACAACUACGGUGAAAAUAUAGGUACAAGAAAUGUUUCAAUUUAGUUGCUUUUCGAGCAAGCUAUGUUUGGUGGUGAGAUUAGACUAAGUUGGUGCUUGGUGCCAAGAUUUGCAAAUUUUUUAUAGUCUUGGUUUUGUAGACUUAGGGACUUGAAUGCACUCAUUAAAUCCAAAUAGGAUGACUAGUGUCAAAAUAUAGGAGCAAGAAAUGUUUCCACUUAGAUGCUUUUCAAUCACGCUAUGUUUGGUGGUGAGACUGGACUAAGUUGGUGCUUGGUGCCAAGAUUUGGAAAUGUUGUAAAGUCUUGGUCUUUUAGACUUAGGAGUUGCAAUCCACUCUUUAAAUUCCCAAAUGACGACUAGAGUCAAAAUACAGGUGCAAGAAAUGUUUCAAUUUUGCUUCUUUUCAAGCAACCUAUGUUUGGUGGUGAGACUGGACUAAGUUGGUGCUUGGUGCUAAGAUUUGGAAAUUUUUGANUGUGCUUGGUACCAAGAUUUGGAAAUGUUAUAAAGUCUUGGUUUUUUAGACUUAGGGCCUACAAUGCACUCUUUAAAUCCCCAAAUGACGACUAGUGUCAAAAUAGAGGUGCAAGAAAUGUUUCAAUUUAGUUACUUUUCAAGCAAACUAUGUUUGGUGGUGAGAGUGGACUAUGUACGUGCUCUGUGCCAAGAUUUGGAAAUUUUUUAUAGUCUAUGUUUUAUAGACUUAGGGGCUGCAAUGCACUCUUUAAAUCCCCAAAUACUGACUAGUUUCAAAAUAUAUGGGCGAGAAAUGUUUCAAUUUAGUUGCUUUUCAAGCAAGCUAUUUUUUGUGGUGAGACUGUACUAAAUUGGUGCUUGCUGCCAAGAUUUUUAAAUUUUUGAAAGCCUUGGCUUUUUAGACUUAGGGACUGCAAUGCACUCUUUAAAUCCCCAAAUGACAACUACGGUGAAAAUAUAGGUACAAGAAAUGUUUCAAUUUAGUUGCUUUUCGAGCAAGCUAUGUUUGGUGGUGAGAUUAGACUAAGUUGGUGCUUGGUGCCAAGAUUUGCAAAUUUUUUAUAGUCUUGGUUUUGUAGACUUAGGGACUUGAAUGCACUCAUUAAAUCCAAAUAGGAUGACUAGUGUCAAAAUAUAGGAGCAAGAAAUGUUUCCACUUAGAUGCUUUUCAAUCACGCUAUGUUUGGUGGUGAGACUGGACUAAGUUGGUGCUUGGUGCCAAGAUUUGGAAAUGUUGUAAAGUCUUGGUCUUUUAGACUUAGGAGUUGCAAUCCACUCUUUAAAUUCCCAAAUGACGACUAGAGUCAAAAUACAGGUGCAAGAAAUGUUUCAAUUUUGCUUCUUUUCAAGCAACCUAUGUUUGGUGGUGAGACUGGACUAAGUUGGUGCUUGGUGCUAAGAUUUGGAAAUUUUUGAUAGUCUUCGUUUUUUAGACUUAGGGGUUGCAAUGCACUCUUUAAAUCCCUAAAUGUCGACUAGUGUCAAAAUAUAGGUGCAAGAAAUGUUUGAACUUAGUAGCUUUUCAAGCAAGCUAUGUUUAGUGGUGAGACUGGACUAAGUUGGUGUUUGGUGCCAAGAUUUGGAAACUUUUGAAAGUCUUGGUUUUUUGGACAUAGGGGCAGCAAUGAAGUCUUAAAAUACCGAAAUGAUAAUUAGUUUCAAAAUAUAGGUGUAAAAAAUGUUUCCAUUUAGUUGCUUUUAAAGGAAGCUAUGUUGGGUGGUGAGGCUGGACGAGGUUGUUGUUUGGUGCAAAGAUUUGGAAAUUUUUGAAAAUCUUAGUUUUUAGGACUUAGGAGCUGCAAUGCACUUUUCAAUUCCCCGAAUGACGACUAGUGUUAAAAUAUAGGUGCAAGAAAUGUUUCAAUUUAGUUGCUUUUCAAGCAAGCUAUAUUUGGUGGUGAGACUGUACUAAGUUAGUGCUUGGUUCCAAGAUUAGGAAAUUUUUGGAAGGCUUGGUUUUUUAGACUUAGGGGUUGCAAUGCAGUCUUUAAAUCCCCAAAUGAUGACUAGUUUCAAAAUAUAGAUGCGAGAAAUGUUUCAAUUUAAUGUUUUUCAAGCAAGCUUAAUAAAGUCUUGGUUUUUUAGACUUAAGGGUUGCAAUGCACUCUUUAAAUCCCCAAAUGACGACUAGUGUCAAAAUAUAGGUGCAAGAAUGUUUCAAUUUGGUUGCUUCUCGAGCAAGCUAUGUUUGGUGGUGAGACUAUACUAAGUUGGUGCUUGGUGCCAAGAUUUGGAAAUUUUUUAAAGUCAUGGUUUUUUAGACUUAGGGGCUGCAAUGCACUCUUUAAAUUCCCAAAUGACGACUAGUGUCAAAAUAUAGGUGCAAGAAAUGUUUCAAUUUAGUUGCUUUUCAAGCAAGCUAUGUU